GAGCCAUAUGGUGUGUAACAGCUUAAACAAAAGGCAACAAAAAUUGGCAGAGGAAGUUAACUGGAAAGCAGCAUUGAAAGACAGGGUCAAAGCAGGGUUGAGGAUGGAAGCAUUGCAGAGACAAGCAGGAGUGGGGCAUGCACGGGGCCACACAAUAAUAUUCUCUAGAGGAGAGAGUUAUUUUCAAGCCUUUGAAAAAGAUGCAAUAAAUAUUUCACAAGCCUGCCAAGAAAAACAAAAGUCAAUGAUCACACCUUUAAAGUCAGAAGAAGGGGAUCUCAUCAUUCCAGUGGCAGAAGGCUGGGCAAGGGUAGAGGACAUAACGGCGACCUUUCAGAAGGGAUGCAAGCUGAAUCUUAGAGAGUAUAUAGGACAAUGGCUGAGGUAGAAGAAGAAGGAAUCCUAGGUGAAGCAAGGUGCCCAGGUGAGAAGGUGCUGAUUUCUGUGCUGUUGGAAUCACAUAGAGUGCAGCAUGGGCAGUGUCAGUCAUGUUACAAUUCUAUGUAGCUGAAGGCUAUGGUUUAAAUUGAAUAUGUUUCCAAAAAGUUCCAUGUGUUCAGAGGUGAGGCUUUUGGAAGGUAGUUGGAGCAUGUGGGUACUGUACUCAUCAGUGGAUUAAUCCAUUGAUGAGUUCAUAGCUGAAUGUGCCAUUAGGAAAAUGGGCCUGGUUAGAAAUGGUGGGUCACUGGGGGCCCAAUCUGGAAGGGUGUAUUCUACUCAGAUCUCUCUGCUUCUUGGCUGCCCUGGGUCCCUUUAUACCAUGCUAUUUCUGCCAUGUGGCCAGACAACCAUGAAGGAAUCCCUCUGAAAUCAUAAUCCAAAAUAAACUUCUUCUCCUUUAAAUUGCUGGUGUCAAGUAUUUUGUUC
rnacentral:lncRNA from 1 species